rnacentral:rRNA from 1 species
CUACGUGUAGGAGGCUGAAGGUACCAUACGAAUAAGGAUCGGCUAACUCCGUGCCAGCAGCCGCGGUAAUACGGAGGAUCCAAGCGUUAUCCGGAUUUAUUGGGUUUAAAGGGUCCGUAGGCGGGUCUUUAAGUCAGUGGUGAAAGCCCGCAGCUCAACUGUGGAAUUGCCAUUGAUACUGGAGAUCUUGAGUGUAGUAGAAGUAGGCGGAAUAGGGCAUGUAGCGGUGAAAUGCAUAGAUAUGCCCUAGAACACCGAUUGCGAAGGCAGCUUACUAUGUUACAACUGACGCUGAGGGACGAAAGCGUGGGUAGCAAACAGGAUUAGAUACCCUGGUAGUCCACGCUGUAAACGAUGAUUACUCGCUGUUGGCGACAUACAGUCAGCGGCCAAGCGAAAGCAUUAAGUAAUCCACCUGGGGAGUACGCCGGCAACGGUGAAACUCAAAUGAAUUGACGGG